GGUGAAUGUUAGCGGCGUGCCUAAGGUAUGCAAGUCGAGCGGUUCCACGCAAGUGGAGCAGCGGCGAACGGGUGAGGAAUACAUAGAUAAUCUGCCUCGAAGUCAGGAAUAGCUCGCCGAAAGGUGGGAUAAUACUUGAUGGUCCGUAUUUACGAGAGUUUUUUACGGUAAAGUUCAGGCGCUUCGAGAAGAGUUUAUGUCCUAUCAGCUUGUUGGUGAGGUAAAGGCCCACCAAGGCUAAGACAGGUAGCUGGCGUGAGAGCGUGGUCAGCCACAAAGGAACUGAGAGACGGUCCUUACUCCUACGGGAGGCUGCAAUUAGGAAUCUUGCGCAAUGGGGGCAACCCUGACGCAGCGACGCCGCGUGAAGGAUGAAGGUCCUAGGAUCGUAAACUUCUUUUAUAGGGGAAGAAUAAUUGACGGUACUCUAUGAAUAAGUGCCUGCUAACUACGUGCCAGAAGCAUCGGUGACGCGUAGGGCACAAACAUUACCCGGAGUUAUUGGGUGUAAAGAGAUGCGUAGGCGUUUUGGUAAGUCUUGUGUUAAAGACCUCCGCUCAACGGAGGGAGUGCACUCGAAACUACCAGAAUUGAGACAGGAAGGGGUGAGUAGAAUUCCCGGUGUAGCGGUUAAAUGCGUUGAUAUCGGGAGGAAUACCAGAGGCGAAGGCGACUCACUGGUCCUGUUCUGACGCUCAGGCUCGAAAGCGUGGGGAGCAAAACGGAUUAGAUACCCGUGUAGUCCACGCUGUAAACAAUGAAUGCUGGGUGUUUGAUACAACUUCUUUGUCCUUCGGGACAAAGUGGAAGUAUUAAGUGCCGAAGCUAACGCGUUAAGCAUUCCACCUGGGGAGUACGGCCGCAAGGUUAAAACUCAAAUGAAUUGGCGGGAACCCGCACAAGCGGAGGAGCGCGUGGUUUAAUUCGACGGUAAUCGAAGAACCUUACCAGGGCUUGAAAUGUAGCUGCUAAACCUAUGAAAGUAGGAGUCCUUCGAGGGUGCUACACAGGUGCUGCAUGGCCGUCGUCAGCUCGUGUCGUGAGAUGUAGGGUUAAGUCCCGAAACGAGCGCAACCCCUAUCCUAUGUUACAAGUGUCUUAGGAAACUGCCUCGGUAAAACGGGGAGGAAGGUGGGGAUGACGUCUGGUCCGCAUGGCCCUUAUGUCCUGGGCGACACACGCGCUACAAUGGUCGAUACAAAAGGAAGCCAAGCCGUAAGGCGGAGCAAAUCCUAAAAAAUCGAUCUCAGUACGGAUUGAGGUCUGCAACUCGACCUCAUGAAGUUGGAUUCGCUAGUAAUCGCAAAUCAGCCAUGUUGCGGUGAAUACGUUCUCGGGUUUUGCACACACCGCCCGUCAUGCCACGGGAGUAGGCAGUACCCGAAAGCAUCCUGGCCACAAGGUUAUUGAUCUUGUUGAUCGAUAUUCUUGUGGCUGGGGUGAAUAAGGUAAGGCUUAUGACUGGGGUG
rnacentral:rRNA from 1 species